rnacentral:rRNA from 1 species
GAUGAACGCUGGCGGCGUGCCUAACACAUGCAAGUCGAGCGAUCUUCUUCGGAAGAGAGCGGCGGACGGGUGAGUAACGCGUGGGUAACCUGCCCUGUACACACGGAUAACAUACCGAAAGGUAUGCUAAUACGAGAUGAUAUGCUUUUAUCGCAUGGUAGAAGUAUCAAAGCUCCGGCGGUACAGGAUGGACCCGCGUCUGAUUAGCUAGUUGGUAAGGUAACGGCUUACCAAGGCGACGAUCAGUAGCCGACCUGAGAGGGUGAUCGGUCACAUUGGAACUGAGACACGGUCCAAACUCCUACGGGAGGCAGCAGUGGGGAAUAUUGCACAAUGGGCGAAAGCCUGAUGCAGCAACGCCGCGUGAGCGAUGAAGGCCUUCGGGUCGUAAAGCUCUGUCCUCAAGGAAGAUAAUGACGGUACUUGAGGAGGAAGCCCCGGCUAACUACGUGCCAGCCGCCGCGGUAA